rnacentral:rRNA from 1 species
UACGUAGGGGGCUAGCGUUGUUCGGAAUUACUGGGCGUAAAGCGCGCGUAGGCGGACCUGCAAGUCGUGGGUGAAAGCCCGAGGCUCAACCUCGGAACUGCCUUCGAUACUGCGGGUCUCGAGUCCGGGAGAGGUGAGUGGAAUUCCUAGUGUAGAGGUGAAAUUCGUAGAUAUUAGGAAGAACACCAGUGGCGAAGGCGGCUCACUGGCCCGGUACUGACGCUGAGGAGCGAAAGCGUGGGGAGCAAACAGG